UCCAUGUCUAGCCAUUUGAGCAUAUGGUA
rnacentral:piRNA from 1 species